UUGAAUAAAUUGGAUUUAGGCUGUUGCUGGUCUUGUGGGGCAUUGUGCACGUCUAAGUCCCCUAUAUUCACACCCACCUGUGCACUUUGUGUAGAUCUGAAUAACUCUCGAGAUUAGCUCGGUUUGAGAAAUUGCCAUGGAUGAUACAGGGCUUUUCUUCGCUUUCAGAUCUAUGUUUUUUUUACUAUUCUCCACAUAAAGUAUUUGAAUGUAAUACAGGCUUUAUGUGCCUAUAAAGCAUACAAUA
rnacentral:misc_RNA from 1 species